rnacentral:lncRNA from 1 species
AAUUACACUUUUGCCCCAAAAGUUUUGCUUCAUUUACAAUUUGGUCUUUCUUACAGCCGCUAGUGCAAGUUGCGCACCUGCACGGCGGCAACCAGCCUAGGCUCAUCAUGGCCUCCCUAGCCACAUACCACCUUCAAAAAGAAGCAAAAAUCAACUAUAACAGGGGUAUUUUUCCCCCAAAAUCGAAACCCCCCGAAAUAAAAAAAAAGAGAAAAGACGAAAGAAAUGAGAAGAGAAAAGGAAGAAGAGGGGGACCGUCGGCACCGUCGCACCACAGGCGAAGGAAGUAACAGUAUAGCGACGACAGCGUGAAAGAGGCGGCAACACAAGCUAAGGUUUUAAGGAAGAAGAAAAAGAAAGGAAAAACCAAAAAAAGAAGGAAAAAAACAAAAAAGGAAAAAUAAAAAUAAAAAUAAAAAAUUUUAAAGAAGUCGGGUCGGGCGUUAUUCGGCCAACCAGCAGCCAAUCAACAAACCAGGCAGCAGGCCUGACCCAGCAGGCCCAUCACACCCAGGCCCAAGCAACAAAGAAGGAGAAGAAAAAAAAGAAACAAAAAGAAAAAAAACUAGCAGGCCUGUAGCAGGCCCACUUUGUGCAGCCCAGUAGCGCAAGCCCAACGCAGGCAGCCCAGCAAAAUGCCCAAUCUAGCGUAAGACCAGUAGGCAGGCCAGCAGCCGAUCACCAAUAGCAAGCUCAUAGAAGCAGCCCAAUAGCAGCAGGCCAAAAAAAAAGAAAGAAAAAAAAGAAAGAAAAAAAAAAGAGCCCUGGUCGUUUAUCCCGUUCUUCAAGCCCGUAAUUUCGGGCUUUUCGAUAAUUUCUUUUUUUAC